AAAGUUGCAUGCAUGCUUCAUGUAUUUUUAGUUAACACUAUUGCUUUAUGGGGUUUAUAAUUUAGUGCAGUAGUACUUCAUGAAUUUCCACACUCCUGAGCACCUGGCCUCUCAUACCGUCCCUGGCCAGAAGAAUCAAUACCACCUGGAGGCUCAUUAGAACUGGCAGAAUUAGCCGCCCCACCCGUGCCAGAUCCACUAAAUCAGAUCCUGCAUGUUAACCGGGUCCUCAGGUGAUCUGUGGCGCAUAAAGGCUUGAGAGGCUCUGACUUAGAUUACAGUAACAGGCCUCCACUUGUCUCCCUUCCCACAUUUUUGCUGCUCCAGUCCUACUGGAUCAGGGAUUCCUAACAUGAGGGUGAAGAUAAUUCUGGGCCUUAGGGAUCCAGAGAAUUUUAUGCAGCAUGUAUGUAUAUUUUAUGUGCAUGUAUGUAUAUGUGCCCUUUUCAGGAAAGGGUUCAUUGCUUUUCUUUUUAUCCCAUGUUAGUAAAGUAGUGUUCUCAAAGGAUGUUCCCGUCAGCAACACUUAGGAACUUGGGAGCAAUGCACAUGCUGGGGGUGGAAGCUUGCAGUGCUUUAAUAAGCCCUCCAGUGAUCCUGAUGUUACAAGUUUGAGAACUACUGAAUUAGAGACUGAAGGCAAAGAACAGGGUGAGGCCACUUGUUGCAUCACUGUCUAGUCUGUGUGACCAGGACUGUGAUGCGGCCGUGAACUGACACUGGUAUCCAGUGAGCUAGCUGAAGUGGAGGCAGAGGAAAGGUGAUGGGUUUGAUGUUAGAUGUACUGAACUUGAUGAUAUUAAUUUCAAAUGUUUAUCAAAUAAUAUUCUAUCUGUAUAUUCAACUUAGCAUAAGAGUAAAGAAAAUGGGCUUUACAAUCGAACAGACCUGAGCUUGAGACCUGGCUCUGCCACUCACCUACUGGAUCUCCUGGUCUUUUGUUAACAAUAUUUAUUUUGUCAUUCACGAGCUCUUCCUACCAAGUUAUCUUCAUCUAUUUUUCUGAAUUAAAUGGUAAGUUUCCCAUUUCCUUCUUGCCAAAUCUUUAUCACAGAUUUAAAAAUAUUUCUUUCAUGAAAAGUUUAUGCGUAUUUAUAUAACACAGGCUGGAUAAAAUGAAGGAUUAAAGUUUAUCACAAAACUUUACAUAGUUGUUCAUUAAAACUGAGACCAACCAAGUUAUGAGCUUUUGGAAGCAAAACUUUUCCCUACCAAUUCACUGAGUGCUACGGCAGCUGUAAGACAAGCACUUGGCUCCUGUGUACUCAGAAGUUCCCACUCCGGUGGAGAGCAUGAGACUCAUGAGCAGGACAUGGUGACAAAUGACACUAGUCAGUCAGGUAUAAGGGAGGGUAGAGACCAAUGAGAUGUCACCACUGUAAAGUAAAAGUAAUUGAUUUAACGGAAUCUAAUGUAUAAACGUUAAAUGCAGGGAAAUCUGAAACUAUUUAUUGUGAUAAUUACAUUUAUAAUUUCACCAUUUGAAUGUUAACUAUCAAAGAUCACCAGGAAAAAGUCAGGCCCCGCCAAUUUGCCCAAAUAAAAUAUUUGCAGAGAUGGAGAAAUUAUAUAAGUUAAUUGUAAUAAAUAUGUACUGAAAUAUUAUAAUCUCAACUUAAUAAAAUAAUUCGGAGCAGUACACAGUCAUGUGGGAUCUGGGGUUGGGAGAGCAUAGGACUUUUAGUAAAAUUUUAAAACUUAAAGCUGACCAUUUCACACUCGAUCUUAUUUCAGGAAAUCAUCUGCAUGUGCCACAGCUAUCUUCUGAAUUAAAUGGCAUCAUACCUGUGUUACAUUUCCAGAAACACGAGUCUAAAAAAAGACUGUUAUUUACCCACUGCUUCUUCUUGGUCUGGGAAAUCAGUUGCUUGUGCUGUGUUGCCAGCUUCUUGAUUUCUUCUACAAAUUCCUCCUUACACUUUUCCUUUACUUGCUUACAUUUUCUGUCCAUCUCACCCUGCAUGUUGGCUAUAGCUUUAUUUACAGCCUGUCUCUUUUCCUCUUCCAUUUCAGAACGCAGCUGGAACGAAAAGAAACCCCAUAGUAGAUGUUUACUGUGUACCAGUGGAAGGCACUACAAAGAAUGGAGAAGUGGUGUGAUCUUGAGUUUCAUUGCCUCAUUUGACAGCUGCAAGAAUGUUGCCCACAGGGGUUAAGGUAAAUGAUUAAUUAGUGGUUGGAAUCCAGCAAGGUCUUAAUCUUCUGAUUAUCAGGAUGGCACUUCAUAUGCUGCCUCUGCCUUUGAGGGACUUAUAAUUUUGUCAGAAAGAACUAAGGAAUAAUUAUAAUGCAAUGCAGCAGGUAGUAAAGGUACUCUAGGGUGCUAUGGAGAAGAGGAAGUUUUCAUUUGGUUGUGAGUGGUCACAACAUUUUAUUUGGCCUUGGUCUUGAAAGAUUAAGUAAGAUUUAAACAGCAGACAAUAUGAGUAGAAAGAUUCCAGGCAGAGGGAACAUUACAAAUGAGAUAGGCAACAACAUGGAUGCAUGAGUCACAGACACUUUCUACAGCAGAGUACCAGUUGCGAUACGGUACUAUAAACACACACAUAUUUAUGCUUUUUAGUUUUCUGUUAAAGAUUUUUUUCCUGCUAUAAAUGUAUAUGAUAUUAUAGUUUUCAUCCCUGGCCUAUAAAUUAUAGAGCUCCAGAAAUACUGGGCCUAUGACCAUUUUGAAGGAAUCACUUACAGGAUCAUUGCCACAUGUGCCUCAGGCAUAAAUAAAAAUUUCUACUUGUUUGUAAAAGUCAAGCUUUAUAAUCUAGAAGUACAUUUUAAAUAUACAGUAAUCUAUAUCAUUAGAUGCUAACAAUAGCUAAAAUUGUUACUGUUAUUUAUUUUAUUUUUUUUUUUUGAGACGGAGUUUCGCUCUUGUUACCCAGGCUGGAGUGCAAUGGCGCAAUCUCGGCUCACCACAACUUCCACCUCCUGGGUUCAGGCAAUUCUCCUGCCUCAGCCUCCUGAGUAGCUGGGAUUACAGGCACGCGCCACCAUGCCCAGCUAAUUUUUUGUAUUUUUAGUAUAGACGGGGUUUCACCAUGUUGACCAGGAUGGUCUCGAUCUGUUGACCUCGUGAUUCACCCGCCUCGGCCUCCCAAAGUGCUGGGAUUACAGGCUUGAGCCACCGCGCCCAGCCCUACUGUUAACAUUAUAUCAACUGUCUCAUCUGGCCUUAAGUAUUUUGUUAAAAACCAUAUCAAAGUAAACUAAACUUUGAGAAAUUAAACUCCAAUGCAGAGUACAAAUGAAAUUAUGCUUGUGGAGAGUUUCUUGCCAUUAUAUUUUGAAUUAAUAUAUUUAGUCUUCCAGUCAACAGCUAUUUAUUAAGUAAGUUGCUAUUAUGUAGUAGAAAUUCAAUAAAAAUGGUUUGCUCACUUUUUAAAGUAGUUUGCUCUUGAAACCUGGAAUGAACUCGUCAUCUAUAGGAGUAUUUUCCAUACUUAAAUUAUUUAUCUUAAAUAAAAUGGAUUCACGUUUGUUCUUUAAAAAGCCUCAACACAGUUCAUAAUGUACUUCUAUUCUCUUUUAAUCAACUCCAGUACUAUAGAAUAUCAGAUUUCAGUUAAAAAAAAAUUAUCACAGGGUUUGCUCUCUGAUCUUAAAAAAAAAAAAAACCCACAAUUUAAGGUAAGUCUAAAUAA